rnacentral:rRNA from 1 species
CGGAGAGGGAGCCUGAGACAAGGAUCCAGGUCCUACGGGGCGCAGCAGGCGCGAAAACUCCGCAAUGCGCGAAAGCGUGACGGGGUCACCCCGAGUGUCACCUGCUGAAGGUAACUUUUCCUCAGUCUAAUCAGCUGGGGGUAAUAAGGGGAGGGCAAGUCUGGUGUCAGCCGCCGCAGUAAUACCAGCUCCCCGAGUGGUGAGGACGAUUAUUGGGCCUAAAGCGUCCGUAGCCGGCUUGGUAAGUUUCCCGUUAAAUCCGACGAUUUAAUCGUCGGGCUGCGGGAAAUACUGUUAAGCUAGGAGGCGGGAGAGGCCGGCGGUACUUUUGGGGUAGGGGUGAAAUCCUAUAAUCCCAAGAGGACCACCAGUGGCGAAGGCGGCCGGCCAGAACGCACUCGACGGUGAGGGGCGAAAGCUGGGGGAGCAAACCGGAUUAGAUACCCGGGUAGUCCCAGCUGUAAACAAUGCGGGCUAAGUGUCGGGAUAGCCAUAGAGCUAUUCCGGUGCUGCAGGGAAGCCGUUAAGCCCGCCGCCUGGGGAGUACGGCCGCAAGGUUGAAACUUAAAGGAAUUGGCGGGGGAGCACCACAAGGGGUGAAGCUUGCGGUUCAAUUGGAGUCAACGCCGGGAACCUCACCGGGGAAGACAGCUGGAUGAAUGCCAGAUUGAAGGUCUUGCAGGACUAGCUGAGAGGAGGUGCAUGGCCGUCGCCCGUUCGUGCCGUGAGGUAUCCCGUUAAGUCCGGGGAACAAGCGAGACCCACACCCCUUAUUGCCAGC